GUCAUGACCCACAUCCUCAAGGUUUAGUUAAAUAUAUCUUGUGGUGAAAAUGCCCGGAGCAAGAAGGCAAAGCAUCAUGAAGAGGACAUUGGGAGCUCUGCUGGGGCUCUUCAGUGCCCAGGUUUGCUGUGUGAGAGGAAUACAAGUGGAGCAGAGUCCUGCAGACCUGAUUCUCCAGGAGGGAGCCAAUUCCAAGCUGCGGUGCAAUUUUUCUGCCACUGUGAGCAAUUUGCAGUGGUUUCACCAAAACCCUUGGGGACAGCUCAUCAACCUGUUUUACAUCCCCUCAGGGACAAAACAGAAUGGAAGAUUAAGCGCCACGACUGUCACUACGGAACGCUACAGCUUAUUGCACAUUUCCUCUUCCCAGACCACAGACUCAGGCAUUUAUUUCUGUGCUGUGAAGUCACAGUGCUCCCCAGGCACCUGCAGCCUGUACACAAACCCUCAGCUGGGCUCAGUUCCUCUACCAGCAACAACCACAUCAUGAGGCCACCACAGCAGCAUUUGCACAGCUUAAUAUUCCUUUUGUACAUAGGUAGAGUUUUAACCACAGAUUCUUUUUGGCUCUACAGGUUUGAGACUUUGGUCUUUAUUUUCCCUUUUCAAUACACACCUCCUCCUACCCUAUAAAUAUCGAGCUUGGAAGGAGUAGAGUAGCUGAUGAGAGGACAGAAUCAAAAUAAAUAUUUAAGUGACAGUA